rnacentral:pre_miRNA from 1 species
AAAUGAGUCACCUGGAGAUCUUGUUAAACUGCACAUUCUGAUUCAGUGGCCCUAGGGCAGGAACUGAGCAUUUGAGAAUUUUCAUAUCUAUCAAAUUGCCAAGUGAUGCUGAU